rnacentral:lncRNA from 1 species
CGGCAGUUCAACGUCCCGUUACUUGACACCGGGCUGUGGGCGCCGGGGGGAGCUGGCUGUCCCCGGGGCGGCGGCUGGCAGGCAAACAGAGGCUAUAGUUAAUAUAAGCACAGCUGAGCCAGUCCUUCUGUCACUGCUGGCAGUGGCCUAGAGGAUGCCUAGAAAAUAGCAAGCACGUGGUGAUUGCUGCCUGGGAGGAUCUCCUUGUUCUAGAGGCGUGAGGUACUCAGAGUUCCUGAACAACGUGCAGUGACCCAAGUGUGUCACAGUUUGAGCACAGAGGAAGCACCACUGAGGUGGCAGAUGAUUCUAAUAAUACUUGAUGUGAAUUGAUGGGGAAGGAGGACCAUAACACAGAG